GACGAACGCUGGCGGCGUGCUUAACACAUGCAAGUCGAACGGUAAGGCCCCUUCGGGGGUACACGAGUGGCGAACGGGUGAGUAACACGUGAGCAACCUGCCCUUGACUCUGGAAUAACAGUUGGAAACAGCUGCUAAUACUGGAUAUUCAUCGUCUCCUUCCUGGGGGGUGGUGGAAAGCUCCGGCGGUCGGGGAUGGGCUCGCGGCCUAUCAGCGUGUUGGUGAGGUAAUGGCUCACCAAGGCUUCGACGGGUAGCCGGCCUGAGAGGGCGACCGGCCACACUGGGACUGAGAUACGGCCCAGACUCCUACGGGAGGCAGCAGUGGGGAAUAUUGCACAAUGGGCGCAAGCCUGAUGCAGCAACGCCGCGUGCGGGAUGACGGCCUUCGGGUUGUAAACCGCUUUCAGUAGGGACGAAGGGUGACUGACGGUACCUACAGAAGAAGGACCGGCUAACUACGUG
rnacentral:rRNA from 1 species